UGGCCUGGAACGUGGAUCUCAGCGUUUCAUAAUUUACGAACUAAAUAUGCAUCUCUCCUACAAAUAAACUGUUGAUCCAUUAAUUUUGCGAAGUUCAAUUAAGAGUUCAACCUCUUAUAAAAUUGUUAAUUUUAAUAAAUGCUCUCAGUGUCAAGCAGACUAUUCUAACUUAAGCAAUAAUUUCAUAAACAUAAGAAAUAAUUUUAAGAAAUAAUUAAGCUCGACAAUUUUAAGAAACAAAACUAAUUCUCAAAAAUCUUUUGGGUAGAUAGGAAUUUGAUUUCCGCGUACAAAAUGGCAAUAUUGGUCCGGCUUGUGGGUCUUCUCUCACUUCUGAUUUUAUUCACCAGCCUUCUUACUGUGGAGUCCACCAUAAUUUGCAUUUGUGCAGCUGCCAAGUGUAACAAUGAAACUGAUACUUGGAGUUGCCAAAGUACUGGGGGCACCUGCCAAUUUGUCAACCAACAAUGCGGUUUUCGAUGCCAGGAAGGCUUCCUGGAUGUCUGUGCCUCCGUCUAAAAAUUGGGCCGCUGAUUACUACACAACUUGUGUUAAUCUAUUAAAUAAACAAUCAAAUUCAAUAAAGUCUUAAAUUUGCGUGAAGUAAACAAAAUA